UACGGGGGGGAGCAAGCGUUGUUCGGAUUUACUGGGCGUAAAGGGCGCGUAGGCGGCCUGUGCAAGUCAGUUGUGAAAUCUCCGAGCUUAACUCGGAACGGUCAACUGAUACUGCUCGGCUAGAGUGCGGAAGGGGCAACUGGAAUUCUUGGUGUAGCGGUGAAAUGCGUAGAUAUCAAGAAGAACACCCGUGGCGAAGGCGCUCUCUGGAACGCAACUGACGCUGAGACGCGAAAGCGUGGGGAGCAAACAGG
rnacentral:rRNA from 1 species